GUGGGGAAUCUUCCGCAAUGGGCGAAAGCCUGACGGAGCAACGCCGCGUGAGUGAAGACGGCCUUCGGGUUGUAAAGCUCUGUUAUAUGGGACGAACGGGUGUAUGGUCAAUACCCAUACGCCGUGACGGUACCGUAAGAGAAAGCCACGGCUAACUACGUGCCAGCAGCCGCGGUAAUACGUAGGUGGCAAGCGUUGUCCGGAAUCAUUGGGCGUAAAGGGCGCGCAGGCGGUUCGGUAAGUCGGUCUUAAAAGUGCGGGGCUUAACCCCGUGAUGGGAUUGAAACUGCCGGACUGGAGUGUCGGAGAGGAAAGCAGAAUUCCUAGUGUAGCGGUGAAAUGCGUAGAUAUUAGGAGGAAUACCAGUGGCGAAAGCGGCUUUCUGGACGACAACUGACGCUGAGGCGCGAAAGCCAGGGGAGCAAACGGGAUUAGAAACCCGAGUAGUCC
rnacentral:rRNA from 1 species